AUUGAACGCUGGCGGCAUGCCUAACACAUGCAAGUCGAACGGGGGCAGCGAUGCUCUAGUGGCGGACGGGUGAGGAAUGCGUAGGAAUCGGCCCACGAGUGGGGGACAACCUGGGGAAACUCAGGCUAAUACCGCAUGAGCUCGUAAGAGGAGAGCGGGGGAUCUUCGGACCUCGCGCUGGUGGACGAGCCUACGUCCGAUUAGCUGGUUGGUGAGGUAAAGGCUCACCAAGGCGACGAUCGGUAGCGGGUCUGAGAGGACGACCCGCCACACUGGGACUGAGACACGGCCCAGACUCCUACGGGAGGCAGCAGUGGGGAAUAUUGGACAAUGGGCGCAAGCCUGAUCCAGCAAUGCCGCGUGGGUGAAGACGGCCUGCGGGUUGUAAAGCCCUUUAGGCGGGGAGGAACGACCGGACGCUAACAUCGUCUGGAAGAGACGUUACCCGCAGAAUAAGCACCGGCUAGCUCCGUGCCAGCAGCCGCGGUAAUACGGAGGGUGCGAGCGUUAAUCGGAAUUACUGGGCGUAAAGCGUGCGUAGGCGGUGGGGUCAGUCAGCCGUGAAAGCCCUGGGCUUAACCUGGGAACGGCGGUUGAGACGGCCCGACUUGAGUGGGCUAGAGGAUCGUGGAAUUCCGGGUGUAGCGGUGA
rnacentral:rRNA from 1 species